UACGAAGGGGGCUAGCGUUGCUCGGAAUCACUGGGCGUAAAGGGCGCGUAGGCGGCGUUUUUAAGUCGGGGGUGAAAGCCUGUGGCUCAACCACAGAAUGGCCUUCGAUACUGGGACGCUUGAGUAUGGUAGAGGUUGGUGGAACUGCGAGUGUAGAGGUGAAAAUUCGUAGAUAUUCGCAAGAACACCAGUGGCGAAGGCGGCCAACUGGACCAACACUGACGCUGAGGCGCGAAAGCGUGGGGAGCAAACAGGG
rnacentral:rRNA from 1 species